GACGAACGCUGGCGGCGUGCUUAACACAUGCAAGUCGAACGGUGAAGCGCUUGCCUUUUUGGUGGGUGUGGGUGAGUGGCGAACGGGUGAGUAACACGUGAGUAACCUGCCCUCUUCUUCUGGAUAACCUCAUGAAAGUGGGGCUAAUACGGGGUAUUCCGGGUCUGUCGCAUGGCGGGUUUGGGAAAGAUUGCGCCUUUGGGUGUUUUCGGUGGGGGAUGGGCUCGCGGCCUAUCAGCUUGUUGGUGGGGUGAUGGCCUACCAAGGCGGUGACGGGUAGCCGGCCUGAGAGGGUGGACGGCCACACUGGGACUGAGACACGGCCCAGACUCCUGCGGGAGGCAGCAGUGGGGAAUAUUGCACAAUGGGCGCAAGCCUGAUGCAGCGACGCCGCGUGAGGGAUGGAGGCCUUCGGGUUGUGAACCUCUUUCGCCAGUGAAGCAGGCCUGCUCCUGUGUGGGUGGGUUGACGGUAGCUGGAUAAGAAGCGCCGGCUAACUACGUG
rnacentral:rRNA from 1 species